CUUGAAGCGCUAUGAAGAUGCCACCAGUGACAAGAAGAAGCUUGCAGAAGAUUAUGCAAGCCGUAUUGCAAAUUUGCAGAGUAAAUAUAGUCUAUUAGAAGAAAGAUAUGCCAGCUUAUCAAAAACAUUAGAUUCUACUAGAAUCGAGUCCAUGGAAUGGAAAAGGAAAUAUGAGCAGUUACUUUCGAAACAGAAGGCUGAAGAGGAACAGUCAAAUGCAGAGAUAAGUAUUCUUAGGUCGAGAACUAGUGCUGCAGAAGCAAGGGUUAAUGCUGCCAAAGAGCAAGCUGAAUCUGCUCAAGAGGAGGCAGAGGAGUGGAAACGCAAGUACGGCAUUGCUGCCAAGGAAGCAAAGAAUGCUCUUGAGAAGGCAGCAGCUGUCCAAGAGCGCACUAGCAAGCAAGCACAAUUGAGAGAGGAUGCCUUACGGG
rnacentral:misc_RNA from 1 species